rnacentral:rRNA from 1 species
AUUGAACGCUGGCGGCAUGCCUAACACAUGCAAGUCGAACGCGAAAGAGGGGCAACUCUUGAGUAGAGUGGCGGACGGGUGAGUAAUACGUAGGAAUCUUCCUUUAAGUGGGGGAUAACCACGCGAAAGCGUGGCUAAUACCGCAUAAUAUCUUCGGAUUAAAGCAGGGGACCGCAAGGCCUUGCGCUUUUAGAUGAGCCUACGCCGGAUUAGCUAGUUGGUAGGGUAAUGGCCUACCAAGGCGACGAUCCGUAGCUGGUUUGAGAGAACGACCAGCCACACUGGGACUGAGAUACGGCCCAGACUCCUACGGGAGGCAGCAGUGGGGAAUAUUGGACAAUGGGGGCAACCCUGAUCCAGCGAUGCCGCGUGUGCGAUGAAGGCCUGCGGGUUGUAAAGCAUUUUUAGUGGGGACAAAAUGCUCAAAGUUAAUACCUUUGAGAGUUGAUUUAACCUACAGAAAAAGCACCGGCUAACUCUGUGCCAGCCGCCGCGGUAA